UUGUCUCAAAGAUUAAGCCAUGCAUGUGUCAGUACAAGCCAAAUUAAGGUGAAACCGCGAAAGGCUCAUUAAAUCAGUUAUGGUUCCUUAGAUCGUACCCACACUUACUUGGAUAACUGUGGUAAUUCUAGAGCUAAUACAUGCAAACAGAGCUCCGACCGGAGACGGAAGGAGCGCUUUUAUUAGAUCAAAACCAAUCGGUGGCGGUUUACUCCGUCAUCGUACAACUUGGUGACUCUGAAUAACUUUACGCUGAUCGCACGGUCUCGCACCGGCGACGCAUCUUUCAAAUGUCUGCCUUAUCAACUGUCGAUGGUAGGUUCUGCGCCUACCAUGGUUGUAACGGGUAACGGGGAAUCAGGGUUCGAUUCCGGAGAGGGAGCCUGAGAAACGGCUACCACAUCCAAGGAAGGCAGCAGGCGCGCAAAUUACCCACUCCCGGCACGGGGAGGUAGUGACGAAAAAUAACGAUACGGGACUCAUCCGAGGCCCCGUAAUCGGAAUGAGUACACUCUAAACCCUUUAACGAGGAUCAAUUGGAGGGCAAGUCUGGUGCCAGCAGCCGCGGUAAUUCCAGCUCCAAUAGCGUAUAUUAAAGUUGUUGCGGUUAAAAAGCUCGUAGUCGAAUCUGUGUCCCGCGCCGCCGGUUCAUCGUUCGCGGUGUUAACUGGCGUGCCGCGGGACGUCCUGCCGGUGGGCUAGCUCGAGAGGGCGGCCCAACUCAAUCCCGCCGCGGUGCUCUUCAUUGAGUGUCGAGGUGGGCCGGCACGUUUACUUUGAACAAAUUAGAGUGCUUAAAGCAGGCUAAAACUUCGCCUGAAUACUGUGUGCAUGGAAUAAUGGAAUAGGAUCUCGGUUCUAUUUUGUUGGUUUUCGGAACCCCGAGGUAAUGAUUAAUAGGAACGGAUGGGGGCAUUCGUAUUGCGACGUUAGAGGUGAAAUUCUUGGAUCGUCGCAAGACGGACAGAAGCGAAAGCAUUUGCCAAAAACGCUUUCAUUGAUCAAGAACGAAAGUUAGAGGUUCGAAGGCGAUCAGAUACCGCCCUAGUUCUAACCAUAAACGAUGCCAGCUAGCGAUCCGCCGACGUUCCUCCGAUGACUCGGCGGGCAGCUUCCGGGAAACCAAAGCUUUUGGGUUCCGGGGGAAGUAUGGUUGCAAAGCUGAAACUUAAAGGAAUUGACGGAAGGGCACCACCAGGAGUGGAGCCUGCGGCUUAAUU
rnacentral:rRNA from 3 species